AGCCCUUGACAUCCCGGUCGCGGGAUCGAGAGAUCGAUCCUUUCAGUUCGGCUGGACCGGUGACAGGUGCUGCAUGGCUGUCGUCAGCUCGUGUCGUGAGAUGUUGGGUUAAGUCCCGCAACGAGCGCAACCCUCGCCCUUAGUUGCCAUCAUUAAGUUGGGCACUCUAAGGGGACUGCCGGUGAUAAGCCGAGAGGAAGGUGGGGAUGACGUCAAGUCCUCAUGGCCCUUACGGG
rnacentral:rRNA from 1 species